AACGAACGCUGGCGGCAGGCUUAACACAUGCAAGUCGAGCGAAGACUUCGGUCUUAGCGGCGGACGGGUGAGUAACGCGUGGGAACAUACCCUUUGCUACGGAACAGUCCCGGGAAACUGGGUUUAAUACCGUAUACGCCCUUCGGGGGAAAGAUUUAUCGGCAAAGGAUUGGCCCGCGUUGGAUUAGGUAGUUGGUGGGGUAAAGGCCUACCAAGCCGACGAUCCAUAGCUGGUUUGAGAGGAUGAUCAGCCACACUGGGACUGAGACACGGCCCAGACUCCUACGGGAGGCAGCAGUGGGGAAUCUUAGACAAUGGGGGCAACCCUGAUCUAGCCAUGCCGCGUGAGUGAUGAAGGCCCUAGGGUUGUAAAGCUCUUUCAGCUGGGAAGAUAAUGACGGUACCAGCAGAAGAAGCCCCGGCUAACUUAGGGAAAGAAGAAGAGGGAAGAC
rnacentral:rRNA from 1 species